GUGAAAGAAACCACUUACUAUGUUUUGGGAGUCAAACCCAAUGCUACUCAGGAAGAAUUGAAAAAGGCUUAUAGGAAACUGGCCUUGAAGUACCAUCCUGAUAAGAAUCCAAAUGAAGGAGAGACGUUUAAACAGAUAUCUCAAGCUUACGAAGUUCUCUCUGACGCAAAGAAAAGGGAAUUAUAUGACAAAGGAGGAGAACAGGCAAUUAAAGAGGGUGGAGCAGGUGGCGGUUUUGGCUCUCCCAUGGACAUCUUUGAUAUGUUUUUUGGAGGAGGAGGAAGGAUGCAGAGAGAAAGGAGAGGUAAAAACGUUGUACAUCAGCCCUCAGUAACCCUAGAAGACUUAUAUAAUGGUGCAACAAGAAAACUGGCUCUGCAAAAGAAUGUGAUUUGUGACAAAUGCGAAGGUAGAGGAGGUAAGAAAGGAGCAGUAGAGUGCUGUCCCAAUUGCCGAGGUACUGGAAUGCAAAUAAGAAUUCAUCUGAUAGGACCUGGAAUGGUUCGGCAAAUUCAGUCUGUGUGCAUGGAGCGCCAGGGCCAUGGGGAGCACAUCAGUCCUAAAGAUAGAUGUAAAAGCUGCAAUGGAAGGACGAUAGUUCGAGAGAAGAAGAUUCUAGAAGUUCAUAUUGACAAAGGCAUGAAAGAUGGCCAGAAGGUAACAUUCCAUGGUGAAGGAGACCAGGAACCAGGACAUGAGCCAGGAGAUAUAAUCAUUGUGUUAGAUCAGAGGACCAUGCUGUUUUUACUCAACGAGGAGAAGACCUUUUCAUGCAUAUGGACAUACAGCUGGUUGAAGCACUGUGUGGCUUCCAAAAGCCGUUAUCUACUCUUGACAACCGAACCACAGUCAUCACCUCUCAUCCAGGUCAGAUUGUCAAGCAUGGAGAUAUCAAGUGUGUACUAAAUGAAGGCAUGCCAAUUUAUCGUAGACCAUAUGAAAAGGGUCGCCUAAUCAUCGAAUUUAAGGUAAACUUCCCUGAGAAUGGCUUUCUCUCUCCUGAUAAACUGUCUUUGCUGGAAAAACUCCUACCGGAGAGGAAGGAAAUAGAAGAGACUGAUGAGAUGGAUUAAGUAGAACUGGCGGACUUUGAUCCAAAUCAGGAAAGACGGCACCAUUACAAUGGAGAAGCAUAUGAGGAUGAUGACCAUCACCCCAGAGGUGGUGUUCAGUGUCAGACCUCUUAAUGGGCCAGUGAAUAACACUCACUGCUGGCAUUUUAUGUGCAGUAGUGAAUGAGUAAGGAUGUAAUCAUAAUAUGCUCACUACUUGCUCUUGUUUUUGUUUUAAUCAACUAUAGUAGUGUUUUAAAAAGUUAAAUGAAGAAUAAAGGCAACUAUAAAAGCUCUGACUUUGCCCUGUAUGUAUGAUGACUUCAGCGUGCAAAAUACCUGUAAAAACUACUUUACAAAGAAGUUCCCCUAGCAUCGCUAGACCAAACCUUGUAAUUGACUUCAGCUAUGUAUGUGGACAAGCUUAGACUGAAAUGCUAGGUAUAUGUAUUGGCUUCAGUGUAUGACCCUUCAUUGUUAAGCUCUGAAAGUAAAACUGUACUUAACUGGCAACAAGAAAAUUGUAGAGAAGUGUUGGUCUGCAUAGUUCUUGUAUUAAGUGGGAAUCAUUGUAAUGCCUCUGCAUUUAUUCUAUUGCCUCAACUGUUACUUGAAGAUGGCAUAAUAUAUAAUUUAUCCUGUGGUAUCAGUGAUAAAAAUGAUACCUUUCUGUAGGAGGGGUUUAUCAUAAUAUGCUGCUUCUUGAAGGCUUGCACUUCCAAAACUGUUUCCUUCUGCUGUGCCAUCCAUAUAUAUAUAUAUAGCUCCAUAUAUAUCUUGACCAGUCCUGGUUAUUUACCCCCCUCCUUGUCUGUGGACCAUGAUAAGCCCGAGUAGUGACUUCAGAACUGGGUAACAUAGAAAUUAAAGUGAAAAGACCUUUACAUGGAGAAGUAAUUUGCAUGCGUAAUAUAGGAAGGUGUUCGUUAGGUAUGUUACAGGAUUACUUUAAACCAUUUGACUUACGCUCCAAAGUAGCUAAUGUUGGUAGUAUAGCAAAUUAUGAUGAAUAGCUUUAAUUGUAUGUUUAAAAGUCUCAUAUGUUCACAUGCUUAAAUCUGGGUAUCAGAAUUUAAGCAAUUCUUGAAAUGCAUUGUCUCCUUAAUAUACUAAUUACAAAGCAAAAA